GGGACUGCAGGUGGCUUGGGGCGCCUCAGGGCGGCUCGGAGCCGCCCACAGCUUGGGGCGGUGCGGGGCCGCCCCCUUCCUC